rnacentral:rRNA from 1 species
CCUACGGGUGGCUGCAGUGAGGAAUAUUGGUCAAUGGACGAAAGUCUGAACCAGCCAUGCCGCGUGCAGGAUGACGGCUCUAUGAGUUGUAAACUGCUUUUGUAUUAGGGUAAACACCCCUACGUGUAGGGGCUUGAAAGUAUAAUACGAAUAAGGAUCGGCUAACUCCGUGCCAGCAGCCGCGGUAAUACGGAGGAUGCGAGCGUUAUCCGGAUUUAUUGGGUUUAAAGGGUGUGCAGGCGGUCUGUUAAGUCAGCGGUCAAAGCCCGGGGCUCAACCCCGGCCCGCCGUUGAAACUGGCAGUCUCGAGUUGGAGAGAAGUAUGCGGAAUGCGCGGUGUAGCGGUGAAAUGCAUAGAUAUCGCGCAGAACUCCGAUUGCGAAGGCAGCAUGCCGGCUCCACACUGACGCUGAGGCACGAAAGCGUGGGUAUCGAACAGGAUUAGAUACCCGGGUAGUC